ACUCCGGUUGAUCCUGCCGGACCCGACCGCUAUCGGGGUAAGGCUAAGCCAUGGGAGCCGAACGCCCCGCCGCCGCGGGGCGUGGCGCACGGCUGAGUAACACGUGGCUAACCUACCCUCGGGAGGGGGAUAACCCCGGGAAACUGGGGCUAAUCCCCCAUAGGCGGGGAGGCCUGGAACGGUUC
rnacentral:rRNA from 1 species